AGUAGCUGGUUCCCUCCGAAGUUUCCCUCAGGAUAGCUAGAGUUGAACAGUUUUAUCAGGUAAAGCGAAUGAUUAGAGGCAUUGGGGGUAUGUUACCCUUGACCCACUCUCAAACUUUUAAUGGGUAAGCUCCACUGGUUGCUUAAGUGACGCAGGGGGUGGAAUAACAGCUCUAAGUGGGCCAUUUUUGGUAAGCAGAACUGGCGAUGAGGGAUGAACCUAACAUUGGGGUAAAGUGCUUGACUGCUCGCUCAUGUGACACCACAAAGGGUGUUGGUUCAUACUGACAGCAGGACGGUGGUCAUGGAAGUUGAAAUCCGCUAAGGAGUGUGUAACAACUCACCUGCCG
rnacentral:rRNA from 14 species